UACAGGGGGGGCAAGCGUUGUUCGGAAUCACUGGGCGUAAAGCGCACGUAGGCGGAUCUUUAAGUCAGGGGUGAAAUCCCGAGGCUCAACCUCGGAACUGCCUUUGAUACUGGGGAUCUCGAGUCCGGGAGAGGUGAGUGGAACUGCGAGUGUAGAGGUGAAAUUCGUAGAUAUUCGCAAGAACACCAGUGGCGAUGGCGGCUCACUGGCCCGGAACUGACGCUGAGGUGCGAAAGCGUGGGGAGCAAACAGG
rnacentral:rRNA from 1 species